CCUACGGGAGGCAGCAGUGGGGGAUAUUGGACAAUGGGGGAAACCCUGAUCCAGCGACGCCGCGUGAGUGAAGACGUACUUCGGUAUGUAAAGCUCUUUCAGCAGGGAAGAAAGAAAUGACGGUACUUGACCAAGAAGCCCCGCCUAAUAACGUGCCAGCACCCGCGGUAAUACGUAGGGGGCAAGCGUUAUCCGGAAUUACUGGGUGUAAAGGGGGCGUAGGCGGGGAUGCAAGUCUGGAGUGAAAGGCGGGGGCCCAACCCCCGGACUGCUCUUGAAACUGCAUAACUUGAGUGCGGGAGAGGUAAGCGGAAUUCCUGGUGUAGCGGUGAAAUGCGUAGAUAUCAGGAGGAACACCAGUGGCGAAGGCGGCUUACUGGACUGCAACUGACGUUGAGGCACGAAAGCGUGGGGAGCAAACAGGAUUAGAUACCCCGGUAGUC
rnacentral:rRNA from 1 species